GACGAACGCUGGCGGCGUGCUUAACACAUGCAAGUCGAACGGUGAAGCUCCAGCUUGCUGGAGUGGAUCAGUGGCGAACGGGUGAGUAACACGUGAGCAACCUGCCCCUGACUCUGGAAUAAGCGCUGGAAACGGCGGCUAAUACUGGAUACGAGAAGGGUCCGCAUGGGCACUUUCUGGAAAGUUUUUCGGUUGGGGAUGGGCUCGCGGCCUAUCAGCUUGUUGGUGAGGUAAUGGCUCACCAAGGCGACGACGGGUAGCCGGCCUGAGAGGGCGACCGGCCACGCUGGGCCUGAGACACGGCCCAGACUCCUACGGGAGGCAGCAGUGGGGAAUAUUGCACAAUGGGCGCAAGCCUGAUGCGGCGACGCCGCGUGAGGGAUGACGGCCUUCGGGUUGUAAACCUCUUUCAGCAGGGAAGAAGCGAAAGUGACGGUACCUGCAGAAGAAGCACCGGCUAACUACGUG
rnacentral:rRNA from 1 species